rnacentral:rRNA from 1 species
UACGUAGGGGGGCAAGCGUUUGUCCGGAAUCAUUGGGCGUAAAGAGCGUGUAGGCGGCCCGGUAAGUCCGCUGUGAAAGUCCAGGGCUCAACCCUGGGAUGCCGGUGGAUACUGUCGGGCUCGAGUCCGGAAGAGGAGUGUGGAAUUCCUGGUGUAGCGGUGAAAUGCGCAGAAUAUCAGGAGGAACACCAAUGGCGAAGGCAGCACUCUGGGACGUGACUGACGGCUGAGACGCGAAAAGCGUGGGGAGCAAACAGG